GACGAACGCUGGCGGCGUGCUUAACACAUGCAAGUCGAGCGGUAAGGCCCUUUCGGGGGUACACGAGCGGCGAACGGGUGAGUAACACGUGGGUGACCUGCCCUCAGCUCUGGGAUAAGCCUGGGAAACUGGGUCUAAUACCGGAUAUGACUCCGCGACGCAUGUUGUGGGGUGGAAAGCCUUGUGCGGCUGAGGAUGGGCCCGCGGCCUAUCAGCUUGUUGGUGGGGUGAUGGCCUACCAAGGCGACGACGGGUAGCCGGCCUGAGAGGGCGACCGGCCACACUGGGACUGAGACACGGCCCAGACUCCUACGGGAGGCAGCAGUGGGGAAUCUUGCGCAAUGGGCGAAAGCCUGACGCAGCGACGCCGCGUGAGGGAUGACGGCCU
rnacentral:rRNA from 1 species